AUGCUUGAUGAGCACAAUGUUUUAGUCAAAUCAUUUCGUAUGGCAAGGGACAGAUUCCAAAACCGACGUAUUAAAGAUGUAAGACUAAGAUUGAUCAACAAAAGGUCGAAAGAUGGACGGCAAUACAACCUACCAUCUGCCUCAGAAGUCGCAGCACUAAUUAUUGGGGAACAAGAUGGAGAAAAUAAUGAAUUUGAUAUAAUAGUUGAGACCAAAGACAGAAUGUUACAGAGGAUUUCAGAGUUGCACCCAAGCUAUAUGUCAAUGCAGUACCCCUUGCUUUUUCCAUAUGGAGAAGAUGGUUUCAGACCAGAAAUAGAGUAUGAAAAUAAAAGAGGCAACAAAGGUAAAAGAAAGUAUGUAACAAUGCUGGAGUUUUAUGCGUAUCGCAUACAACAAGGUCUGAACCAAGCUUCAACAUUGCAAAUGAGUGGACGUUUGUUCCUGCAGUUCUUAGUUGAUGCAGCAACGUGCAUUGAACAAUGGAGACUAAAUUGGUACAGGACAAACCAAGGUAAGUUGAGGACAGAACUGUACAGAGGACUGCAUGAUGCAAUAGAAAAUGGAGAUACACGAACCGAACAAGUUGGACAAAGAAUCAUACUACCCUCAUCAUAUAAUGGCAGUCCAAGAAAUAAGCAGCAAAACUACCAAGAUGCCAUGGCGAUUUGUCGUUGGGCUGGCUAUCCUGAUCUCUUCAUUACUUUUACAUGCAAUCCAAAAUGGCUGGAAAUACAAGAUAUGUUGGAUCUGAUUCCAGGCCAGAAACCUGAAGAUCGUCCAGAUAUCGUUGCCAGAGUAUUCAUGUUAAAACUGAAGGAACUUAUGAAUGACAUAAAGAACGGAAAGUGUUUUGGACAAACAAUUGCAAUUGUCUACACUAUAGAGUUCCAGAAAAGAGGCCUCCCGCAUGCACACAUACUGGUGUUUCUACACCCAGAUGAUAAAGAUCCAAGUCCUUCCCAGAUCGACAAAAUCAUAUCAGCCGAAAUUCCUGAUAAGAAUAGUGAUCCAGAAGGGUACGAAGCAGUGCAAAAUUACAUGAUACAUGGUCCAUGUGGUCAAGCACACCCAAAAUCACCAUGCAUUGUCGAUAAAAGUUGUGCCAAACAUUUCCCCAAGAAUUUUUGCACUGAGACUACCAUAGAUGAAGAUAACUAUCCAGUACAUAGAAGGCAAGAUGAUGGCAACACUGUGGACAAGAAUGGAGUGAAGCUAGACAAUAGAUUUGUUGUGCCAUACAAUAGAAACCUACUGGUCAAGUAUCAAGCCCACAUAAAUGUUGAGUGGUGCAGCAAAUCAAGGUCUAUAAAGUAUUUAUUCAAAUACAUCCACAAAGGAGAAGAUCGAACAACCGUCUUGAUAGAAGCGGAAGACCAACAAAGUGAAACAAGAGCUAGCAAAUUAACAAACAGGGACGAAAAAAUCAAGAGGUACCUUGAUGCCCGGUACAUAUCUGGAUGUGAAGCCGCAUGGCGCAUAUUUCAGUUUCCUCUUUAG
rnacentral:rRNA from 1 species